rnacentral:rRNA from 1 species
UACGAAGGGGGCUAGCGUUGUUCGGAAUUACUGGGCGUAAAGCGCGCGCAGGCGGCUAUCCAAGUCAGUGGUGAAAGCCCGGAGCUCAACUCCGGAACUGCCAUUGAAACUGUUUAGCUUGAGGAUGAGAGAGGUGAGUGGAAUUCCCAGUGUAGAGGUGAAAUUCGUAGAUAUUGGGAAGAACACCGGUGGCGAAGGCGGCUCACUGGCUCAUUACUGACGCUCAGGCGCGACAGCGUGGGGAUCAAACAGG